UCUUUUGACCUCAAUGCGGGUGCACCGUACUGAAAUGACGUCAUGUGCAUAAGGUCUAUAGUUGUGUGACGUUAAACAUUUUGUGUAUUGUUUGGCAAACAAUAGACAUGCCCAUUUUUAAGGGAUAACCACAGAAAAGGUCUUUCGUCGAACAGAAAGUGCUCGUUAGCAUGAGCACCAGACGUCACACUGCGAAGCUCGCAAAACACGUAGUGCGCACCAGUCUAUGUUUCUCUCACCACAUGUUUGAAAAGGGUGUUCUAGGUGCGCUGGGCUGGUUUACAAAAGACCGUUUAUGACUGAGAACAAAGAGUCUCCUUUUGUGGAAGACCAAUUUUUUGCAGUCGCCAUCUUGUAAGCUGGUUAGGGACAUGGAACCUAUGACGCAGUUCUAAAUUUCACAAAGAAAAGAAAGUGGUGAAACUCACAACUUGCCCAUUCAAUGGAAGUUCUCAUACUUUAUUUGCAGAUAGUGGUUGAAAAACCAAGUUGCGGCUUGCUUCAAGAUGUGCUUCUUGUUUGAUGGGAAAUCAAGCAAGGUUGAAUCUGCACUCAAGCUUGCAAGAAGAAGAUUGGAAUCAGGAAUCGUUCGGAAUGAGACAACAGAUGUGUUGGAAGAUGUGCAGGGAGGCAUCCAUCAGGGCCCCACGCAAUGGCUGCUUAAGUGGCUCAAGCCCCUAAAGUGCCAUUUGAUGCCAUGAAGCUUUACUGUAGUGAAAUCAUUGCCAUCAUCCUUCAAGCAGGUUGCAGAUAGAGACAUGGCCGGAAAAGCAUAGGAGAAUGAGAUGUUCAAAAACAUCUUCAACUGUUUGUGUUCUGCUCAGAUGUUGUCUAGCAACAAGGGGCGCUCAGAUGUGGUUGAACUUUACCAAGAUGCAUGACUUUAUGUGCUUCUUGUUUGAUGGGAAAUCAAGCAUUAUCAUUGAUUGUUUCAAGGUCGGAUCUACACUCAAGCUUGCAAGAAGAAGAAUGGAAUCAGGAGUCGUUGAGAAUAUGACAUUUAUGAGAUGUGUGGGAAUUGAUAAGCGAGAAGGCAUCCCAGCAGGGCUUCACAUGCAAUUGGGAGACUGAAGCCCACAAAAUGCCAUUUGAUGCCAAGAAGCUUUACUGUAGUGAAAUCAUUGCCACCAUCCUGCCCUGCAAGACACACAAGAAAACAGAGCGAGUUACUCGGUGAGCUGGAAUUCAUGGCACACACACACUCCUGCAACAGCUUGCUGUCUACAAAAGACAGAGCGGGCAAGCACAUAGGAGAAUGAGAUGAUGGAAAACCUCUUCGACAGAAAUGAAUUUAACAACAGAAAGAUUUUAUAACAGGUACUGAGCCCGGUUGUUUAAUGUUUAAUUUAAUACUUAGAGAACCCAUUGCAUUUGGAUUUGCCUUUUGGUCUUAAAGACACUGAACACGUUUGGUAACUGUCAAAGACCAGUAUUCUCUGUUGGUGUAUUCCAACAUAA